AGGUCUUAUAGUCAAUAAAUGACGUUAAAUUGCAAAUUUAAAGUAGGGUUUCCUAAGGCUUA
rnacentral:tRNA from 1 species